rnacentral:rRNA from 1 species
AACGAACGCUGGCGGCAGGCCUAACACAUGCAAGUCGAGCGAUCCCAGCAAUGGGGGAGCGGCAGACGGGUGAGUAACACGUGGGAACGUACCCUUCGGUUCGGAAUAACUCAGGGAAACUUGAGCUAAUACCGGAUACGUCCGAGAGGAGAAAGAUUUAUCGCCGAAGGAUCGGCCCGCGUCUGAUUAGCUAGUUGGUGAGGUAACGGCUCACCAAGGCGACGAUCAGUAGCNGGUCUGAGAGGAUGAUCAGCCACAUUGGGACUGAGACACGGCCCAAACUCCUACGGGAGGCAGCAGUGGGGAAUAUUGGACAAUGGGCGCAAGCCUGAUCCAGCCAUGCCGCGUGAGUGAUGAAGGCCUUAGGGUUGUAAAGCUCUUUUACCUGGGAAGAUAA